rnacentral:rRNA from 1 species
GUGGGGAAUCUUGCGCAAUGGGCGAAAGCCUGACGCAGCCAUGCCGCGUGAAUGAUGAAGGUCUUAGGAUUGUAAAAUUCUUUCACCGGGGACGAUGAUGACGGUACCCGGAGAAGAAGCCCCGGCUAACUUCGUGCCAGCAGCCGCGGUAAUACGAAGGGGGCUAGCGUUGCUCGGAAUUACUGGGCGUAAAGGGCGCGUAGGCGGACAGCUUAGUCAGAGGUGAAAGCCCAGGGCUCAACCUUGGAAUUGCCUUUGAUACUGGCUGUCUUGAGUUUGGGAGAGGUGAGUGGAACUCCGAGUGUAGAGGUGAAAUUCGUAGAUAUUCGGAAGAACACCAGUGGCGAAGGCGACUCACUGGCCCAAUACUGACGCUGAGGCGCGAAAGCGUGGGGAGCAAACAGGAUUAGAAACCCGUGUAGUCC